AAUCCACAACUACAACAAUAAAAACCCUUCGUUUUCAAUUUAAACCACCAUUAUUCUGACGUUACCAGUCAAAAUCCAUUUCUCAAUCAACACAACAAUGUCAUCCUACGGCAACAGAGCAACUUAUUCUCCUUCAGCACCACCUCUCUCCGGCCCAAACGAGCCCCCAGUAGCCCAUCCCUAUCAUCCUCCUCCUUCUCCUUCUUCGGGAAAUUACCCAAAUUACCCUCAGUCUCAGCAGCCCCAGCCACAGAGUAGUGGUUAUGAAUAUGGGCCUACUUCUUCUUCUUCUUCUUCUUAUGGUUAUAAUUACCAGCAGCCUACUCCAAAUUAUGCAACUUUUCCUCCUGGCACUGACCCACAAAUUAUUCAGAGCUUCCAGAUGGUGGACAGGGACCAAAGUGGAUUUGUUGAAGAGAAGGAGUUACAACAGGCUCUUUCUUCGGGUUACCAAAGGUUUAGUCUUAGGACUAUUCGUUUGCUCAUCUUUCUCUUCAAAAAUCCCUCUGACCAGUUCCCACGCAUUGGACCAAAGGAAUUUGCUGCACUAUGGAGUUGUCUUGGUCAAUGGAGGGCAAUAUUUGAGAGAUUUGAUAGAGAUCGAAGUGGGAAGAUUGAUGCAACAGAACUAAGGGAUGCUCUCUACAGUCUUGGAUACAUGGUGCCACCUUCUGUUCUUGAAGUUUUGAUCUCCAGAUAUACUGAUGGAAGCAGUCGGAGGCCUGAACUAUGUUUUGAUAGCUUUGUCGAAUGUGGGAUGAUUGUGAAGAUUCGAGAAGAUUGGCCCGUUGUUGUUGUCGUUUGAGGUGUUGGGAGCAAUGUCCUCAUCAGCAGAAAUCAUUUCGCGUUGGUUUUGGUCGAUUUGGACGGCCGGAACUCCAUUUCCGGCCACAUGGUGCUCAUCGGAGAGUUGCAGAGGUUUGGGGAUGACGAUUGGCACGGUAGAAUGGCCUGAAAUUUGGUGGAAUGGUCUGGUACCACUCUUUCUCCGCUGAAGCUUUUUGAGGCUUUUCCACCGGAGGUGAUGGCUGCUCGGUUAGUGGCGGUGAUGACGACAAUGAUAUCGGUGGUGAAGGCUCUUGUUAUUCGUUGAGCUCAACUGAAAUGGGGUCGUUUUAACUUGGUGGGGUUAAUUAAUGACUUGACAGCUGACAUAGAAAAAAUUGAGGGGGUCAGCUGCCACAGUGUCAAAACGUUAGGGGCUUGACUGAAAAGUUCAAGGAGAAAGACACACGUUAUACCGGCUCGGCAAAACUGACCUAUGAUGAGUUCAUGUCCAUGAUCCU